rnacentral:snoRNA from 1 species
UGGUAACACUUCCAUGCACCACUUCUACAGUUUCUUACCAGAGAGGUUUCUCUGAACUUCUGGAGCACCAGAAACCACGAGGAGGAGGCUCAGCAUUCCUCCUGAGCAUGAAGCUGGCUCUUGGGGGUGCUUCUCGGCAGUUGCCUUUUGCCACUGACGAUCACUCUUCUCUUCCUUUGGGAGAGUGAAAAGGAAAGGAUGCCAUCUGAAUGAU